UGGGGAAUCUUGCGCAAUGGGCGAAAGCCUGACGCAGCAACGCCGCGUGGAGGAUGAAGGCCCUUGGGUUGUAAACUCCUGUCGGCUGGGAAGAAAUCGUACGGUGCUCAUACCACCGUGCGUUGACUGUACCAGCAAAGGAAGCCCCGGCUAACUCUGUGCCAGCAGCCGCGGUAAUACAGAGGGGGCUAGCGUUAUUCGGAAUUAUUGGGCGUAAAGGGCGCGUAGGCGGCCAUGCGUGUCUUCCGUGAAAUCCCUCGGCUUAACUGAGGACGUGCGGAAGAAACUGCAAGGCUCGAGUCCGGGAGAGGGGGGUGGAAUUCCCAGUGUAGCGGUGAAAUGCGUAGAUAUUGGGAGGAACACCGGUGGCGAAGGCGGCCCCCUGGACCGGUACUGACGCUGAGGCGCGAAAGCGUGGGUAGCAAACGGGAUUAGAUACCCCCGUAGUCC
rnacentral:rRNA from 1 species